UACGUAGGUGGCAAGCGUUGUCCGGAAUUAUUGGGCGUAAAGCGUCCGCAGGUGGCUAUGCAAGUCUGCUGUCAAAGCCUGGGGCUUAACCCUAGAGAGGCAGUGGAAACUGAAUGGCUAGAGUACGGUAGGGGUAGAGGGAAUUCCCGGUGUAGCGGUGAAAUGCGUAGAGAUCGGGAAGAACACCAGUGGCGAAAGCGCUCUACUAGGCCUGCACUGACACUGAUGGACGAAAGCUAGGGGAGCGAAUGGG
rnacentral:rRNA from 1 species